rnacentral:sRNA from 1 species
GAUCACAAGUUGUGUGCUAAUCUACAAAUAACAGGUGGUUCAAGCUUCCCAAGUUUCAGGCUUUGUGCAGCGUGUGACAUUCAUCUUCCAUCUUACUACUUAAUAGGAAUGGAGUGGCUGUAAGGUGAAGAAGCAUGAAACUCAGUCUCUCGCCCUGGGUGCAUGUUCUCAGGAUGAAGGGGCAGUGAUCUCCCAGAUUUCAGACAUUUCUAAUAGGGAUGGCCAUGCUACUGAUGAGGAGAAACUGGCAUCCACGUCAUGUGGUCAGAAAUCAGCUGGGGCCGAGGUGAAAG